rnacentral:rRNA from 1 species
CGUACGUAGGCGGGCACGCAGGCACUUUGUGAAAUCCCUCGGCUCAACCGAGGAAUUGCUUGGUGAACCGCGUGUCUUGAGGCAAGUAGGGGCUGUCGGAACGAUAGGUGGAGCGGUGAAAUGCGUUGAUAUCUAUCGGAACGUCGAAGGCGAAGGCAGGCAGCUGGGCCUGUUCUGACGCUGAGGUACGAAAGCGUGGGGAGCGAACGGGAUUAGAUACCCCGGUAGUCCACGCUGUAAACGAUGCGCACUAGGUCGAGGGGGUUCUGACGCCAUUCUCGGCCGAAGCAAAAGUGUUAAGUGCACCGCCUGGGGAGUACGGUCGCAAGGCUAAAACUCAAAGGAAUUGACGGGGGCUCACACAAAGCGGUGGAGCAUGUGGCUUAAUUCGAAGCAACGCGAAGAACCUUAUCCUGGGUUUGACAUGCGCGGAUUAGCCUCCCGAAAGGGAGGUUACGCCUUCGGGUGGAACGUGCACAGGUGCUGCAUGGAUGUCGUCAGCUCGUGCCGUGAGGUGUUAGGUUAAGUCCUUUAACGAGCGAAACCCCUGUCGCUAGUUGCCAGCGGGUCAUGCCGGGGACUCUAGCGAGACUGCCGGCGUCAAGUCGGAGGAAGGUGGGGAUGACGUCAAGUCCGCAUGGCCUCUAUGCCCAGGGCUGCACACGUGCUACAAUGGCGGGUACAGAGCGACGCAAUACCGCGAGGUGGAGCAAAUCGCGAAAACCCGCCCCAGUUCAGAUUGCAGGCUGCAAUUCGCCUGCAUGAAG